rnacentral:misc_RNA from 1 species
AACCUAGCACACCUGCGGUGUGUACCUGCGGAAGGAUCAUUACCGAGUUAGGGUCUCUCCAGGCCCGACCUCCGACCCCUUGUUUACUUAUACCAUGUUGCUUUGGUGGGCCCGCCUUGAUGGCCACCGGGGACUUUUUAGAUCUCUGGUCAGUGUCCGCCAGUAGCCUUCUUAAAAAUUCUUUUUAUAACUAUGUUGUCUGAGUAUAACAAAUAAAUUGUUUAAAACUUUUAACAACGG